CGGGGGGCACAUGCCCCCGCGCCCGGGUCCGGCCCUGCCCUGCCCUGCCCGGCCUGGCCUCCGGCCCCGGCUGCGCACUGCUGGCCCGGGCGCCGCCGGGUUUGCGCCUCGCGCCGACUCACCGUAUCGCCAGUCGUGUCCGCGUCUACACCCCCAUCCGACCCGAUUGGUAAAAGUCUCCCCGCGCGCGGCCUCCCCCGCCCCUCCGCGCCCUGCCCCCCCACCCCGGGCGCGCUCACCGCCCCGCAGACAAAUCACCCGGUGACAAAUCGCUCUCAGAUGCAAAUACCUCGCCGGUGAUUCAGCGCGGCGGCCCGGGACGCGGGGAGGGGUCUCGCGAGGCCCCCUCCCCCUUCCCCGGACGCCCCCUCGGCCCCCGCGCUCGGUCCGGGCGACACAGAACUCGCCCGGGAGGAUCGAGGGGGAAGAAAGUGGACGGAAAAUUUCAGGUCGCGGCCCCUUUAAGUGAUAAUAAAUAAUAAAGGGAAGGGGAAAAAAAAGCAACGCGAGAGGCCCCGCCCCCUGUCUAGGGACGGUGGGCAAAGUGCGCGCUGCGGCCCGAGGCGCAGAGGGCGCGGAGGGCGCGGGCGGGGCUGGGAGCGCCUGAGGGGACGGAGAGGGGAUUGGGCCCCCGCUCGGGUGGGUUGCGGAACCCUCGCCUGGUCCGGGUUCGCUCCCCAUCCCACCGAGCCCCUGGGAGGGGCCUCCCGUACUUGGAGUUUUAUCCCGGCCCCUUACAAUGCGACGUGAAGCAGGGGACUUUAUGGACCUAUGGACCUCCGUUUCCCCAUCUGUGAAAUGGGGACAGCCGUGGGGAUUAAGAAAACAGAUUGAAUCUCAGCGGGACAGAGAUGUGGCAGUCCACUCCCAAAAGGUUUACAACCUUGGAAUCCCUUCUCCUCUGCCCUACAGGGUAGCUAUGAGUCGGAACAGACUCGACAGCAAUGGGUAUGUACCAAAUACUGCAUGGAACAUUGUCGUUGGUUGCCAUCGAGUGGGACUCACGGGGACCCCAUGUGACAGGGAAGAACAGCUCCACAGGGCUUUCCUGGCUGUAAUCUUAUUACACCCUCAAAGAUGGAAAAAAUCUGUCUUAGAAGAAGGCAAGGUCAUGGAAGCUCCAUAGACACAUUCAAACACCCUGAGAGACCAAAUUGCUGGGCUGAGAGCUGUGGGGACCAUGCUCCUCAGAGGCAAGGAUGGUGAGACUUUGUCUCACGUACUUUGGACAUGUUGUCAGGAGGGAUCAGUCCCCAGAGAAGGACCUUGUGGUUGGUAAAGUACAGGGUCAGCAGAAAAGAAGAAGCCCCUCAAAGGGAUAGAUUGACACAGUGGCUGCAACAAUGGGCUUAAACAUAGCAGCAACUGUGAGGAUGGCGCAGGACCGGGCGGUGUUUUGUUCUGUUGUGCAUAGGGUCGUUAUGAGUUGGAACCGACUCAAUGGCACUGUUGUGGAUUGAAUUGUGUCCCCCGAAAAAUAUGUCAACUUGGGUAGGCCAUGAUUCCCAGUAUUGUGUGGUUGUCCUCCAUUUUGUGAUUGUAAUUUUAUGUUGAGAGGAUUAGGGUGGGAUUGUAACAUCACUCUUACUCAGGUCACCUCCCCGACCCAGGGCAAAGGGCGUUUCCCCGGGUUGUGGCCUGUACCACCUUUUACCUCUCAAAAGAUAAAAGGAAAGGGAAGCAGCCAGAGAGCUGGGGACCUUGUACCACGAAGAAAGCAGCACCAGGAGCAGAGCGCGUCCUUUGGACACUGGGUCCCUGCACCUGAGAAGCUCCUCGACCAGGGAAAGAUUGAGGACAAGGAUCUUCCUCCAAAGCCAACAGAGAGAGGAAGCCUUCCCCUGGAGCUGGCACCUUGAAUUUGGACUUUUAACCUACUUUACUGUGAGGAAAUAAAUUUCUCUUUGUUAAAGCCAUCCACUUGUGGUAUUUCUGUUACGGCAGCACUAGAUGACUAAGACAGACACCUAAAACAACAACAGUUUUAACGGAAACAGAUCACUAGGUAGGCCUUUUCUUCUGCAGUAUCACUGGGUGAGUUCAAACCCCCAAACUUCUGCCAGUAGUUGAGCGCCUAACUGUUUGCACCACCCAGGGCCUCCUGCAUGAGGUACAUUCAUACUGAAGAAGUAUUUGAUGUUUACCUGUAAUUCGAAGUCAGCUAGAAGCCUGCAUUUUGACGGUGUAGUAGUUAACAGGUACAGCUGCUAACCAAAAGGUCAGCAGUUCGAAUCCACCAGGCUCUCCUUGGAAACCCUAUGGGGCAGUUCUACUCUGUCCUAUAGGGUCACUAGGAGUUGGAAUCAACUUGACGGCAACAGCUUUGCUUUUCUGGUUUUUGGCAACCCUACUCACAAGCAGUCCACUCAGCCUCUCAAACUGGGCAGGGUAUCUCCUCCUACCCUCUCUUGCCCCAGACUGGGGUCUGGGGUCUCGGGCUCACCCCUCUCCCACCUCAUCCAGACCUCCAGUCCCCAACCCCUCUCCCAGUUUGGCUACAUUGCUGCCUGCCUGGUCUUGGCAGCCUGAAAGGUCAGAAGAAUGGUAUGAAAUACAAGUAAUCCCCACCUUAGGACAGGUUCCAGUUAUGGCGAACCACACUUGCAACUGUCAGGCUUUUUUCGUACAUCUUAUCUUAGUAAUAUGUACCGUAUACAAUGUUGCAGCGUGUAGUUUGCUGAUGUCGUCAUACUGUAAGUUUACGUGUAAUGUUUCCAACACCCAAAGACAAGUAAAGAUACUGAAAAUAAAAGGCAAAAAUAAUGAAAACUUAAAAAAAAAAAAAAUGAG